rnacentral:rRNA from 1 species
UGGGGAAUAUUGGACAAUGGGCGAAAGCCUGAUCCAGCCAUGCCGCGUGUGUGAAGAAGGUCUUCGGAUUGUAAAGCACUUUAAGUUGGGAGGAAGGGCAGUAAGCGAAUACCUUGCUGUUUUGACGUUACCGACAGAAUAAGCACCGGCUAACUCUGUGCCAGCAGCCGCGGUAAUACAGAGGGUGCAAGCGUUAAUCGGAAUUACUGGGCGUAAAGCGCGCGUAGGUGGUUCGUUAAGUUGAAUGUGAAAGCCCCGGGCUCAACCUGGGAACUGGAUCCAAAACUGGCAAGCUAGAGGAGGGCAGAGGGUGGUAGAAUUUCCUGUGUAGCGGUGAAAUGCGUAGAUAUAGGAAAGAACACCAGUGGCGAAGGCGACCACCUGGGCUCAUACUGACACUGGGGUGCGAAAGCGUAGGGAGCAAACAGG